UACCUCCUACGGGAGGCAGCAGUGGGGGAUAUUGCACAAUGGGGGAAACCCUGAUGCAGCGACGCCGCGUGUGGGAAGACGGUCUUCUGGAUUGUAAACCACUGUCCCCAGGGACGAAAAUGACGGUACCUGGGGAGGAAGCUCCGGCUAACUACGUGCCAGCAGCCGCGGUAAUACGUAGGGAGCAAGCGUUGUCCGGAAUUACUGGGUGUAAAGGGAGCGUAGGCGGGGAUGCAAGUUGGGUGUAAAAACUACCGGCUCAACAGA
rnacentral:rRNA from 1 species